CUACCCAUGUCUUUGAAGUACCUUCGUUUCCUCGGUGGGCUCGCCCGUCGAUUGGACAAUUUAGACCAUUUGCAGUUGCAAUCAGCGUCUGAUAAAACUUAAUAGUUACUACUUUCAACAACGGAUCUCUUGGUUCUGGCAUCGAUGAAGAACGCCGCGAAAUGCGAUAAGUAGUGUGAAUUGCAGAAUUCAGUGAAUCAUCGAAUCUUUGAACGCACAUUGCGCCCCUUGGUAUUCCAUGGGGCAUGCCUGUUCGAGCGUCAUUUGUACCUUCAAGCUCUGCUUGGUGUUGGGUGUUUGUCUCGCCUCUGCGUGUAGACUCGCCUCAAAACAAUUGGCAGCCGGCGUAUUGAUUUCGGAGCGCAGUACAUCUCGCGCUUUGCACUCAUAACGACGACGGCCCAAAGUACAUUUUUACACUCUUGACCUCGGAUCAGGUAGGGAUACCCGCUG
rnacentral:rRNA from 1 species